CAUGUCGUUAAAAUGUUUGUGACCUUAUGUAUCCACAAUCAUAUCACAGCCAUUUUGACGAGUUUGG
rnacentral:pre_miRNA from 1 species